rnacentral:rRNA from 1 species
AUGGUGGCCUUCAAAGACGUGUUGGAGGUGUGUGAGUUGGUUGAUCUAGGCUUUAUUGGAGUUCCAUUCACAUAUGACAAUAAACGUAGUGGUGCAAGUAAUGUCAAAGUCCGGUUGGACAGAGCGGUGGCAUCCAAUGAUUGGAGGAAUUUGUUCGCGUACUCGUCGGUUGUUCAUAUCCCUUCUCCUUGCUCGGAUCAUAUAGCCAUUUUGGUAAAGGGGUCAGCUGACCCGGGUCCGAUAGGGAAGAGCAACAGAAGAUAUGAGCUUUUUUGGGAACGGGACCCUAUGUUGCUGGACAUAAUAAAGGAAGCAUGGGAGGCUGUAGGCGGCGUUCAGAACCUGGCUCAGUUGCGCGAUGCACUAUCCAAGACCAUGAGCUCAUUGGGAUUAUGGAGUAAA